UCGAUUUGGAGUUUGUUGCCCUGAGUGAUGGGCUCCGAAGCUAACGCGAUAAGUCGACCGCCUGGGGAGUACGGCCGCAAGGUUAAAACUCAAAUGAAUUGACGGGGGCCCGCACAAGCGGUGGAGCAUGUGGUUUAAUUCGAUGCAACGCGAAGAACCUUACCUGGUCUUGACAUCCACAGAAUCUUGCAGAGAUGCGAGAGUGCCUUCGGGAACUGUGAGACAGGUGCUGCAUGGCUGUCGUCAGCUCGUGUUGUGAAAUGUUGGGUUAAGUCCCGCAACGAGCGCAACCCUUAUCCUUUGUUGCCAGCGGUUUGGCCGGGAACUCAAAGGAGACUGCCGUUGAUAAAGCGGAGGAAGGUGGGGACGACGUCAAGUCAUCAUGGCCCUUACGACCAGGGCUACACACGUGCUACAAUGGCGUAUACAAAGGGAGGCGACCUCGCGAGAGCAAGCGGACCUCACAAAGUACGUCUAAGUCCGGAUUGGAGUCUGCAACUCGACUCCAUGAAGUCGGAAUCGCUAGUAAUCGUGAAUCAGAAUGUCACGGUGAAUACGUUCCCGGGCCU
rnacentral:rRNA from 1 species